rnacentral:rRNA from 1 species
UACAGAGGUCUCAAGCGUUGUUCGGAUUCAUUGGGCGUAAAGGGUGCGUAGGCGGCGCGGUAAGUCGGGUGUGAAAUCUCGGAGCUUAACUCCGAAACUGCAUUCGAUACUGCCGUGCUUGAGGACUGGAGAGGAGACUGGAAUUUACGGUGUAGCGGUGAAAUGCGUAGAUAUGCGGAGGAACACCGAUGGCGAAGGCAAUCCCCUGGACCUGUACUGACGCUCAUGCACGAAAGCGUGGGGAGCAAACAGG